CUCAUGUGACGCGGUAACAGCUGCGGCCUGAGUCACCCGGCGGGUGAGGGGAGGGCCGAGCCCCCCGCCCGGCCAAGGCCACGUGGCCCCUACCCAGAAGACGGCGCCCACCCCCGAGAGGGGAGGCCACUGGGGGCAGGACCUCGGGGUGCCUGGGGCCCUUCUGGCGUCCCCGUCCCCAUACCACCUCGGACUGGGAGAGCGGGACCGAGCGGCGCCAGAUUCUCUCUGGUUCAGGGAAGCGGAGGAAGCGUGUGCGAGCCAAGCAGGCGUGAGCGGCCCGGAGUCACACUCUGAGCGCCCGGACCGAGCGACCGAGCUGAGGCAAGGUGACGGAAUGGUCUUCAAGAGGCCGCUUCAUCCUGCACCCGGAGCCCACCUUCCUCUGGCUCCAUCUCUAUUGAAGCCCCCAUCCCCAUCCCCGAGUCGGCAGAGGGCGCUGUUAGAUCCCUUGGAUCGGGUGGGGUCAGAAUAAACACUUCCAGAAAGUCCCUGGCCUCACAUCCUGGGAGUCCCCCAACAUUCUAGAAUGGGUAUUCCGGUCCCCCUUCUGUUAGUCCCUUUCUCCAUAUUCUGGGGCUCCGGAGUAGUGGGCUGAGCACGGGAAGAAGCCAGUCAAUCAUGACGCGCCAGAGUCUGGUUCCUCCCUCUGGGGGUGGGUUGACAAGGUGCUCCCACCACCCCCACUCCCUGAUGAGCUUCUUAUCGGGUGGAGGCCUGGGGGAGGACACUAAAGCAGGCAUGGCAUCUAUCUUAUGGAUCUCCCAUCCCAUACCAGCAGGCAGCACUUCACAUCCCAGGGGGCAAAGCCAGAUGAGGGCUGGAAGGGGAGGUGGCGGCCUCAAGCUGCCUCCCUCCAUUGUGUGCCAUAGUGGACCCCAGAAGGAGCUGUGUGAACCGCCAAGGACAGAACCAGCCAUUACUCCAGGCUCCCCCAAGCCUGGGCCCCACGCCCGAGGUUCUUAUGGUCCUGACUUAAGAACCACUUCCUGAGUCUUAGUAUGUGUACACAAAGAAGGAAAGAAACUGUUAACAGCCAAAGGAAAGAGAUCUGGGCUGGGCUGAGAACCAGUUAACAGAAUCACAACCUUCCAGCAAGGCACACCAAGCCCAUUCUGAAACUUGCUCCCCAGUUACCACAGUAGGCAGGCAGCGGAAGAGGAGAGAAGAUGCUGGAAAAAGUAUUCAUCUGUUUAUUGUGCUGCCACUAGAUGCCAGGCAUGUGCUAUGCACAGGAGAUGGAGAGGGCGGACAAGGGAAGGAAGACAGUGGCACUGACCUCGAUCAACAGACAGAGCCAAGUCCACACUGUAAUAAGCAGAGACAGAAACCCCUGGUGGUAGGUGGACAAGCUCAGAGGGAGGGGCAGG
rnacentral:lncRNA from 1 species